UGGAUGUGUUCUUUUGAGCAGUUGGGCUGCGUUCCGCUGGUUUUGGUUACUGGUUUGGGGACGGAUACCGGUGUUGCCAGAAGCGCACUAGGUAGUGUAGUUCGGCGAUCUGAUUUUCUUAUUUCAUUGCUUUUUAUGUUCUGUUUCCACUGCAUCCCUCGGUGCGUGAGGACCAAAUUUCUAAUCGUGGUCGAAUCUGCCGAGUGUCCUCGGGGACUUGGAGCAUGUGGAAGGGUUUUCUAUCCUUGAACAAUGGAGCGACGGCCCUUUGGCUGGAAUCCGCAUGGCUCCGUCCCACUGGUGUCUGCUGACGACUCUGAGUAGCUGGUGAGAGUCGAGGGAGCUCCUCGGCAUAAAAUUGCGAGUGAUGUUGAAAGAUUUUCUGCGCCUGAGAAGGUUAUAGAGGUCUUCAUUAAUCGUGCAAUUCUCGUGAUUCUGUUCACUGCCUACAGCACCAGAGUCCUCUAGAAUUCAGCCAAAAUCAUAAUGCUAAGCCCUAAGUAGGAUGCCCUUCGUGAAGAAUGUCAAUUCUCUUUUCUUCUCGAGGUCUUUGUGGGUGGAAUGGACCUGGAUCACUGACAGCGUAGGAUGCAAGAGUUGCAAUGCUUUGGGCUCGUUCCAAACGUCGCCUUCAGCUCAAAGUAACAUCUCUAAUCUUCGGCCAGCAUUCAGCACGUCUGCAAUGAGUUGCAAAGAUCACAUGACAUGGUCAUCACAGCCAUCCUCUGGGUGCUCUCAAAGCUGGUCGUGCUGUAAUUCCACCAUCAGAACUGGUAAUUGAAUCCAGUAAGGAAAUCCUCACCAAUGAUUUCUGCACAUUCCAUAUAGUCUUCGAGACCAGGAGCUGGAAGUCCGAAACCAAUAGUUCUCAGCUGGGGCUAGCUUAUUUCUGAAGAACAUCACAGACAGCAUGUGAUUUGCUAGAUUGCAAAGUAUGUUCUAGAUUGAUGAAACGAAAUGAGAAUUUGACGAGAAAGAUUUCAAAAUUAUGUAAACCAAUUUAAUUCCAAUUCUGUUGCUUCAAUAGUUAGAUACUUAUUUUAACCACAAAAUAAUAGUAAGUAUAUUAAUUGUAUUCAAAUUUUGAAAAUUUGCACUAUUAAAUGAAUUUGGAGUUUAAA